rnacentral:rRNA from 1 species
CGGAGGGAUCAUUAAAGAGUUCUAUAACUCCCAAACCCAUGUGAACAUACCUAACGUUGCCUCGGCAGGUCGCACCUACCUUGUAGCACCCUACCCUGUAGGGCCUACCCGGGAGGUGCGGGUAAGCCUGCCGGCGGCCCACCAAACUCUGUUUGAUAUUGAAUUCUGAACCUAUAACUAAAUAAGUUAAAACUUUCAACAACGGAUCUCUUGGUUCUGGCAUCGAUGAAGAACGCAGCGAAAUGCGAUAAGUAAUGUGAAUUGCAGAAUUCAGUGAAUCAUCGAAUCUUUGAACGCAUAUUGCGCCCAUUAGUAUUCUAGUGGGCAGGACCGUUCGAGCGUCAUUUCAACCCUUAAGCCUUCGUUGCUUAGUGUUGGGAGCCUACGGCAACGUAGCUCCUCAAAGUUAGUGGCGGAGUUGGUUCACACUCUAGACGUAGUAAUUUUUUAUCUCGCCUAUUAGUUGGACUAAUCCCCUGCCGUAAAACCCCCAAUUUAUCAAGGUUGACCUCGAAUCGGUUCAGACAAACUCGCUAAAUUGAAGCAUCUUAGUCAGCGAAGGAAAAGAAACCAACAGGGAUUGCCCUAGUAACGGCGAGUGAAGCGGCAACAGCUCAAAUUUGAAAUCUGGCCCUCGGGU